CCGCUAUUCGUUUUAUGCGAGUGUAUAGAGAAAUGAUGUUACAGAGUGCGAACAUUGAAAUAUUCAGUCGAGAUUAAUAUUUCAACGAUUAUUGUUGACUUACGCAAUUUCAUGGACAGACAUGAGGUAAAAGUGGAAAAUACAAAUGCGAGAGAUAAACAACUUGGGGUGUUUUCAAGGAGAUUGGCUGGUGGUUACACCGCUAAAAAGAGAGAUAAAGAAGGAAAUGAAGGAAUUAUAUUUCUCCCAUGAGGAUCUCAAUAAAAUAAUACCCUUUGAUUCAC